GGGAUUGCAGGCGUGAGCCACUAUGCUCAGCCACCAUCAUGGGUUUUAAUCAGAGGAAGCACGAAGUCAGAUUAUAUUUUAGAAGACCGGUGUGGUGUCACAGUACAGUGUCCAUGGAGGCAAUGAGACCAUGUAGGAGGCCGGGUGAGAAAGAGAAAGCUGUUCUACUAACCCUCUUGGAAAUCACAGUGCUGGGAAUUCCAUGGUGCAAACUACAGGUGGUACACCUACAUCUGUGCAGGAAGUGGCUCCCCACGCUGGGAGGCUCCCUGCAAACCAUGCCCCAGACAUCUUGGCAAAGUCCCCACAAUCAACCAGAGCAGUGGCACCGCAGAAGUGCUUCUUACAGAUCAAAGGCAUGACCUGUGCAUCCUGUGUGUCUAACAUAGAAAGGAAUCUGCAGAAAGAAGCUGGUAAGAGAUGAACGCCCAUGUUGAACUUAGGAAUGCUGCAUAUAGACCUCGUAUUCUCCCUUCAGAAU
rnacentral:lncRNA from 1 species